rnacentral:rRNA from 1 species
AAUAUUGCACAAUGGGCGCAAGCCUGAUGCAGCCAUGCCGCGUGUAUGAAGAAGGCCUUCGGGUGUAAAGUACUUUCAGCAGUGAGGAAGGUGGAUAUGUUAAUAGCAUAUUCAUUUGACGUUAGCUGCAGAAGAAGCACCGGCUAACUCCGUGCCAGCAGCCGCGGUAAUACGGAGGGUGCGAGCGUUAAUCGGAAUUACUGGGCGUAAAGCGCAUGCAGGUGGUUGUUAAGUCAGAUGUGAAAGCCCGGGGCUCAACCUCGGAAUUGCAUUUGAAACUGGCAAACUAGAGUACUGUAGAGGGGGUAGAAUUUCAGGUGUAGCGGUGAAAUGCGUAGAGAUCUGAAGGAAUACCGGUAGCGAAGGCGGCCCCCUGGACAGAUACUGACACUCAGAUGCGAAAGCGUGGGGAGCAAACAGGAUUAGAUACCCUGGUAG